UCUCUGGUAGUAUAUCGGUUAGUACACGCGCCUGUCAUGUGACGGUAACGGAAGCCUUGCGCGCGAAAGCUGGGUUCGACUCCCAGCCAGAGAG